rnacentral:misc_RNA from 1 species
CUUCCAUAUAAAGGCAAUGUGAAGCAUCUUUGGGAUCAUUUUUCCCUCCUGUGUGCCCAAAUUGAGCUCCAGUUUCAUCAAAUAGAAGAUUGAUAUCUAAACCACCAGUAUUACCCAAAACAUGAUUAAACNNNNNNNAGCAAAACUGGAUGCCGUACUACAAGUAGGUAUGUCAGAUUGAGACACACCAACCGUCCUCUCUCCUUGAUCCCUGCUACAUGGAAAAUACCACUCUCUGAAACUUCUUGGGCUGGUAUGCAUAGGAGAGCUAAUAUGUGAUGAGGGUUCCAGAUUCACAUCAGAGCUCCCUAUCUGAUCAAAGGAACCAAUUGAACCUCCAAUCCUAGCAUCUGAAGCUUCUGGAUUGUGUGAAGGGUAAAAUGGAGCAGGAUCUACGGAUUCAGAUUCUAAGGUAUGUGGUCCAUCUAACAUCUGAAAACCAUUUUGAAGCUGGAAGUUCUUCUNNNGCCAACGUCAGUAGCUAACUCAUCUUUCAAAUUCUUACAUGAAAAUUCUUCAGGACUACUCUCAGAAGGAUCAUUAGACUCUGAAAUAAUGUGGAGGAAGUCAUCGAGAUCCAUUGACAAUUCCUCUCCCCCGCCGCCGUUGCCGCCA